GAUGAAAGAACGCAGCGAAAUGCGAUACGUAGUGUGAAUUGCAGAAUUCAGUGAAUCAUCGAAUCUUUGAACGCACAUUGCGCCCCUUGGUAUUCCAUGGGGCAUGCCUGUUCGAGCGUCAUCUACACCCUCAAGCUCUGCUUGGUGUUGGGCGUCUGUCCCGCCUGCGGGCGGUGGACUCGCCCCGAAUGCAUUGGCAGCGUCCCUUGCCCCCUCUCGCGCAGCACAUUGCGCUUCUCGAGGGCGGCUCCGGGGCGCGACCCACCGAAGAUGACCACCGUCUUUGACCUCGGAUCAGGUAGGGAUACCCGCUGAACUUAAGCAUAUCAAUAAGCGGAGGA
rnacentral:misc_RNA from 1 species